AAACGGGAGGUGGGCAGGCGGAAGACACGCAGCCCCUCUGAUGACGCAUAGAUUAGAUCGUGCCCGACGUUUGAUCUCCUGAAAUCGUGGCGGCAGUCGCCCAUCGCCGGCCACGCCGACAAGCCGAGCCGCGAGGGCUGGUUCUAAGGUUUUUGCCGGGGUCAACAGACGACAUGCCCCACGAUUGUUCCGGGAGUACGUCGGCCAUGCAGCCGCCGAGACAUCCCUCGUCCGCGCACCUUCAUCCUCCUUCAGUACAUGUGGAUAGAUUAUUGGUGGAUAUAUCGAUCAACUCUUGCCCACCUAAUAUAUGGAGUUUUACUUGUGCCUGGCUUCACAAGAGGUGUGUGAAAAUUUAUCUUUCAUCUCAUAUGAAACAUCGCCGCUACAUAUUCCUUGCAGUGAGUAACUUAAGUUUCUCGACAAAUUAAUUAUCAUAUACUACAUAGUUUUUUUUAUCUUAUACAUAGUUGUUAAAUGCAACUUAAGCGUGCUUAUUAUUAUUUUGAUGUUGUACAAACACGUGGUUACCAUUUUAGAAAAAGGGCCCUGGGUUCUAGUUUCGCCCCCGAAAUCAUAGGACCCGCCCUGAGCGCAUCACCCUGGUUAGCCUGGUAAGUCCCAGCCCAUGCUCUGUUCUUAUUCUCCGGCGAGAUUUUCUCAGCCCCGCAUCUUUUUAUCUUUAUGUUUCUUCUCCGGCUUGAGGGAGUGGAUUCCCAUCACUAGAUUCUUGGAUAAAAGGAGGAGAUGCAAGAUAAUCCACAACCGCAUGGACCAAACCUAUAGCUCGAUCGGCCUUGUUAAGUGACAAUAUAUUGAGAUCUAGAACAUUGCGGAGCAACGAGUGACAAAAGUAUUAGAUGAGAUGUGGAACAUUGCGGAUUAUUGAAGAGAUUGUUAAGGAUUGAAUGUUCUAUUUGGUACUGUCCAGAUGAGUUCGUCCUGUGCUAGAAGGUGUGUGGGAUAUAGGAGAUACAAGGAGAGAUAUUUCAGUUGCAAUCCAGCUUUAUUUCAAUGUAAAAGAUGCAGGUUCUACGAUCUCCUGUGUUGCUACAUCUUCAUCUCCUGCAUUGUUGUAACUCUGUUCUGCUGCUCGAGAAGAAGCAGGAGCAAAGCAUACGCAUGCUUCCUUGGUGAGUUUAGAGUUUACCCUGUCUCUGGAAGUUGAAAUUGGCUCUCAUGCGAGCGACGGCCUUUUGUUAGCCAUGGUGAGUUUCAGGCUUACCCUCUGUUCUUGCUAGCUAAAAUUGGUUUCUUGUUGAAUAAUGUUCAUCACACUAUACUCAUGAAUACGAAGAAAGCUACAAAAGAGUGAUAUCGCAUUUUCUUGAGAUAUCCGGCAACGGAAUCUGAUUGUACCCAAAUGUGAUAGAUUCCACUCUUCGACAGCUUGAAUCUAAAGUUGUAGUGUCUGAACAAGACUAGGAUCAUGUUUAUGAUGCAUUUGUCAUCGAUAGAGGUAUGAAUCCUAUGGUUGACAUUGGUAAAAAUCUCAGUGAGCGCCCUACCUCCUGAAUUAAUAGUGAGAAGCCGUAUAUUUUACUUUUAGGUGUAAACAAAUAGUAAAAGAUGAGGUAGCCAUCUCCUACUGAAGUAACAGUGAGAAGCCUACCAGCUGGAUUUUAUUCUUACAUGAUAUCAUGAUAUGAAGUAUUAUUCAUAUUUACUACUUAGGAUGUAUGCAUAUAUGUUACUGGUUAGCAUGAUACUGUUAGCGGAAGUGGUAGUGCUCUUUAUGGUCGAUGAUGGCAUGCCGCUCCAAACCACUCUGCUUUCCAACAACGCCGACAACCACAACAGAGGUGGAUUCAGCCGCCAAGAGGCAGAGUGGUAGUCAAUGGCAGUGGCCUGCUCCCAAGCUGCAGGUGAGAAGGUGACGCGGCGGUGGUUGGUUAGCGUAAAUAUUGAUCACUGCAUUCUGAGAAUAUUUUGUGAGGUAUCUUGAUUGGCAUAACAGGUUGCUAGAGUUGUUCAAGCAGGUGUGCUCGUUCUACUUUUGUUAAUUUUUCUAUCUAUAUUUUGUACUUAGUUUAGUUUGAAUCGGUACCAUAACAAGGCUAGGUUCAGUAACUAUUUUUUGCUUUUUUACAUAACGGCUGAAUCAAAUGCUCAGGUUAGUAUGUUUAGUUAACAAUGGCAGGGUCAUUGUGGUGCCUGUUGGGCCUUUGGUGUUGUGGAGUGCCUGCAAGAUCGUUUCUGCAUUCCUCAGCAUGGUGAGCGCAUAUGGACGAUCUGUCUACUCUCUGGUCUAUUUUAAACAGGCAUGUUAUUCUUUUCACACAUAACCAUCCUGCUGUUUCUAUUCCAGAAAAUUUCACUUUAUAUCAAUAAGCAUUUAUCUCCAUGUUAACUUGGUGUAAGGUAGCUUUGACAAUGUGUUGAGGCGUUCUUCUCAGUGUAAGAACAAAUAGUUGGCUGCUCCCAUUUUUAUCUCAUUUCGUAAUCAUCGCAAGCUAUGCCUAUGUCAAUAUCUAAAAGUUUUUGGUGUUUGUUUCUCCUCCUCAAAUCAAUAUUUUCUUUUGAUUUGUAGGACCGUUAGUAAGAUUGCUCAUUGGCAAGCGAAAGAGGUUUGCGGAUUCUUGCACGACUAAGGAAGAAAUUUGUUAUUUGAAGUAUGCACAAGAGAUAAUGCAAGAAAAUCAUGACAGGACCAAUGCCCCCAUAUCCAUCCUUGAAGCCGGGUUGCGCGAGCUAUGCUUGCAGGGGGAAUUAACACGCAAGUUUGCAGCAGCAAGGGUUUUUCUACGUCUUGAUGGGCAGCUAAAUUAGUUUGCUUAGAUCCACUCGAGGCCCGGCGGCGGACGGGAGAGGGACACCGGCUAACACCUGCGAGCUGGUGGUUGGUGGCGGCUCGAUCCACUCCUGGAUCCUUCUUCUUCCACUUCCCUGAUGGCGAGAUUAGAUGCGACCUGGUGGUUGGUGACGGCUCGAUCCACUCAUGGAUCCUUCUUCUUUCACUUCUCUGCUGCCUAACACCGAGCAGCGGUCAAGGAGCAUGGUAUCGACGACGGCAGCCGGAAACAUGAUUUAAAAUGGCACUUUAUACCACCAAAUACAAAUGUGUGUGUGUGUGUGGGCGUGUGGGUGUCUCAUUGUAUAUUUUGUUUUAAGUUAAAAUGUAUAUAUCCAUAUCAUUGUACACAACAUCAACCAUGUUUCCUAUUAAAGGGGAUUAAA